rnacentral:rRNA from 2 species
CUCAGGACGAACGCUGGCGGCGUGCUUAACACAUGCAAGUCGAACGGUGAAGCCCAGCUUGCUGGGUGGAUCAGUGGCGAACGGGUGAGUAACACGUGAGCAACCUGCCCUCCACUUCGGGAUAAGCCUUGGAAACGGGGUCUAAUACCGGAUAUGAGCUCGCAUCGCAUGGUGUGGGUUGGAAAGUUUUUCGGUGGGGGAUGGGCUCGCGGCCUAUCAGCUUGUUGGUGGGGUGAUGGCCUACCAAGGCGUCGACGGGUAGCCGGCCUGAGAGGGCGACCGGCCACACUGGGACUGAGACACGGCCCAGACUCCUACGGGAGGCAGCAGUGGGGAAUAUUGCACAAUGGGCGAAAGCCUGAUGCAGCGACGCCGCGUGAGGGAUGACGGCCUUCGGGUUGUAAACCUCUUUCAGCAGGGAAGAAGGCUUCGGUUGACGGUACCUGCAGAAGAAGCGCCGGCUAACUACGUGCCAGCAGCCGCGGUAAUACGUAGGGCGCAAGCGUUGUCCGGAAUUAUUGGGCGUAAAGAGCUCGUAGGCGGUCUGUCGCGUCUGGUGUGAAAUCCCGAGGCUCAACCUCGGGCUUGCAUCGGGUACGGGCAGACUAGAGUGCGGUAGGGGAGACUGGAAUUCCUGGUGUAGCGGUGGAAUGCGCAGAUAUCAGGAGGAACACCGAUGGCGAAGGCAGGUCUCUGGGCCGCAACUGACGCUGAGGAGCGAAAGCAUGGGGAGCGAACAGGAUUAGAUACCCUGGUAGUCCAUGCCGUAAACGUUGGGCACUAGGUGUGGGGCUCAUUCCACGAGUUCCGCGCCGCAGCUAACGCAUUAAGUGCCCCGCCUGGGGAGUACGGCCGCAAGGCUAAAACUCAAAGGAAUUGACGGGGGCCCGCACAAGCGGCGGAGCAUGCGGAUUAAUUCGAUGCAACGCGAAGAACCUUACCAAGGCUUGACAUGCACCGGACGCUUCCAGAGAUGGUUGUUCCGCAAGGUCGGUGCACAGGUGGUGCAUGGUUGUCGUCAGCUCGUGUCGUGAGAUGUUGGGUUAAGUCCCGCAACGAGCGCAACCCUCGUCCCAUGUUGCCAGCGGGUUAUGCCGGGGACUCAUGGGAGACUGCCGGGGUCAACUCGGAGGAA